GUUUUGUUUGUUUACAUUUUAAUAGGAUUGCUCUAGCAGCUGUGUUGAGAAAAGACAACACAGGGAGACAAGCAUAGAAGCAGGAAGGGGAGGUAGCUGCAAAAGGCAGGAGAGAGGUGAGGCGGGCUGGUCCAGGAGGUGGCCAGGAUUCGGGGGUGAGGCAGUGGGAGUAGCAAAAGCAGAUUCUGGAUGCUCUUGACAGUAGAGCCUGUAGGACUUGCUGAUGGAUCAAAUGUGGGUGUGAGAAGUCAGGCAGGACUCCCAAGGUUUGGCCCUGGUGUGAUGUUUAAUAUUAAGUGUCAACUUGAUUGAAGGAUUCACAGUAUUGUUCCUAGGUGUGUCGUGAGGGUGUUCCCAAAGGAGAUUAACAUUUGAGUCAGUGGACCGGAAGAGGCUGACCCACCCUCAAUCUGGGUGGGCCCCAUCUAAUCGGCUACCAGAGCGGCUAGAAUAAAGCAGACUUGCUGAGUCUUCUGGCCUUCAUCUUUCUGCCGUACUGGAUGCUUCCUGCCCUUGAACAUCAGCCUCCCAGUUCUUCAGCUUUCGGACUCUUAGACUUACACCAGUGGUUUGCCAGGGCCUCUUGGGCCUUUGCCCACAGAUGGAAGGCUACACUGUCGGCUUCCCUAUUUUUGAGGUUUUGGGACUUGGACUGAUCCACCACUGGCUUCCUUGCACCUCAGCUUGCAGACAGCCAAUCAUGGGACUUUAGCUUGUGAUCGUGUGAGUCAAUUCUCCUCAAUAAACUCCCUUUCAUAUAUACAUGUAUCCUAUUAGUUCUGUCCCUCUAGAGAACCCCGACCCUGACUAAUACACCUGGCAAACUGCCAUUUACUGAGAUACAAAAGAUUGCAGAAGGCACUGGUUUGGUCAAGAAAUCUGGAUGUUUGGUUUGUUUGUUUGUUUGUUUAUUUUGAGACGGAAUCUGCUCUGUCGCCCGGGCUGGAGUGCAGUGGCAUGAUCUCGGCUCACUGCAACCUCUGCCUCCCAGGUUCCAGCGAUUCUCCUGCCUCGGCCUCCUGAGUAGAUGAGACUACAUGUGCGCGCCACCAUGCCUGGCUAAUUUUUUGUAUUUUUUAGUAGAGACAGGGUUUCACCAUAUUGUCCAGCCUGGUCUUGAACUCCUGAUCUUGUGAUUCACCCGCCUUGGCCUCCCAAAGUGCUGGGAUUACAGCCGUGAGCCACCGUGCCCGGCCUUGGUUUUUAUUUCGUUAGUAUUAAGAAACCUAAUAGGCAUUCAUUCAAGUGGACGUAUCAAGUAAGCAAUUGUACAUAGAAGCCUAGGCAAGCUAGAAAUUAAGGAAUCAUCAGCUUUAGAUCAUAUUGAAAGCCUUAAGACCAGAUGAAAUGAAUGAGCAAGUAAGUGACUGCAGAGAAAGACUGCCACAGACUGAGCUCUGGAGUCAGACAGGAGGAAGAAGCAGCACUCCCUGAGCUGGGGGUUGUGCAGAGCUGUACAGAGAGAGAGAGAGUGCCAGAGGUUUGCAGAGGGUUCCCUUCAAGUCUUUACUGAGCAGUGCAGGCAAGUGAAGAAAUACCUGCAUUUCAAAUUCCUACUGUGGUAGGCACUCCUACCCCAUGCCAGAUAAAGAAUCACCAGCGAAUAUUAGAGAAAACAAUCCCCAGCACUCACGCACGGCCCAGAGGAACUCCGAAUUCCGCCAAUCAUGGUGAAAACCUUCACAACUCAAGGAUUUGUUGAGUAGAAUGCUGCUCAGGGCCCACCCCCUAAAAAAAGUGUAAAAACAUGACCUGAAGCAUCAAGCUCUUUCCAAGGAACUUACCUGCACCCCAGAACAAAGCUCAAAAAUAUUCAUAAAAAUAAACAUUAUAUGUAUCUCAAAGUAAACUUCUCAAUGUCUGGCAUUCAAUAAAAAAUUAUCUGGCUUGUAAAGUAGGAAAAUAUUACCUACAAUGAAGAGAAAAGCCAAUCAAUAUAAACAAUCUCAGAAAUUACUUAGGUGAUAAAGUUAGUAGAAAUGACACAUGUUCCAUAUGCUUGAGCACUAAACACGGAAACCAGAGGACCCAGAUGCAGGUCCAGACACCGAGUGAAACUUCUGCAGGUGAAAUGGCAAUGCCUGAGACGAAAAAUACGCUGGAUGGAAUUGACAGCAGAUUAGAUACUAUAGGAAAGAUGAGUGAAUUUAAAGACACAGCAAUGGAAAUUACACGAAAAUGAAAAACAGAAAGAAAAAAGACUGACAAAAAAUGAACAAAGCCUGAGUUAGCUGUGAAACAAAUUCAAGUGAUCUAAUAUUUGUGUAGUAGAAUCGCCAAAGGAAAGGAGAGGCAGGGGCAGAAAAAAAUAUUUGAAGAAAUAAUGGCUGAAAAAACUCCAAAUCUGAUAGCAACUAUAAACUCAAAGACCAGAGAAGUUCAGUGAAACUCAAGGACAAGAACUUUAAAGAAAAUCAACACCAAGGCACAUCAUAAUCAAAUUGCUUCAGACUAGUGAUACAGAUGAAAUCUUAAAACCAAGCAGAGAUAAAAGACACGUUGCAUAAAAGAAAUAAAGAUAAGAAUGGCAGUUCACUCCUUAUCGGAAACAAAAUGAGCCAGAAAACACUGAAACAGUAUCUUCAUGUUAGAAAAAAAAAAUUGAAAACCCUAAAAAUCGAAAUUGAGCAAAAAUAGCUUCAAACACAGAAGUGAAAUAAAGACUUUUUUGGACAUAUAAAAGCUGAAAGAAUUAGUCACCAGGAGAUCUACACUUCAAGAUCUGUCAAGGAAAGCCCUUCAGACAAAAGGGAAAUGAGACCAUGGAAAUCUAAUCUAUACAAGAGAAUAAGGAGUCUUAGAUAUGGUAACUAUGUGAGUAAAUAUAAAACACUUUUUUCUUAUUGUUUAAAUCUAUUGAAAAGAAUUGGCUGAAAAUGCAGUAUAUAUGUACAAAGUAUUGAAUAGUAUUCAGUCUUAAACAGGAAGGAAAUUCUGACACAUUCUACAAUGUUACAGAUGAAUCUUGAGGACAUUAUGCUAAGUGAAAUACGACAGUGAGGAAAAGACAAAUACUGUAUGACUCCAUUUAUAUGAGGUACUGUACCUAGAGAAGCCAAUUCCUAGACAGGAAGUAAAAUGGUGGUUGCCAGGCACUGUGGGGAGAAGUGAAUGGGGAGUUGUUGUUAAACAGGUACAGAGUUUCAGGUUUGCAACAUGAAGCGUUCUAGAGAUGGAUGGUGGUGAUGGUUGCACAACAAUGGGAAUAUAUUUAAUGCCACUGUACAUUUCAAGAUGGCUGAGUUGCUACAUUUUAUGUCUAUUUUACCACAAUUAAAAGGAAAAGAGAGACAGAGAAUUAGUAGCUUAUUAAGUAAAAACAAUAACAAUGUAUGUGGGUGUACAACAUAUGUAGAAGUACAACAUCCCCAGCACAGAUGCUGGGGGAGGAUGGAAGCAAAUGGUUGUCAGUUUCUUAUACUCUGUAUAAAGUAGUGUAUUAUCACUUGGAGGUGGACUGUGAUGAAGACCUAUACUAUCAACCCCAAAACCACCACUAAACCUCACAAGAAGUUAUUCUUCCUAAGUGACAAAUGAGAUAAAACAAUCACAAAAAUGCCUCUGUCCACUGAAAAGGCCUAGAAAUAGCGGUCCCCUGGAGCAGCAAGCACAAGCGUACAUAUAUAUUAAAAAUUGUCAAAAUGUACACUUUAAAUAUGUGCAGGCCAGGUGCGGUGGCUCACGCCUGUAAUCCCAGCACUUUGGGAGGCUGCCCAGCACUUUGGGAGGCUGAGGCAGGCGGAUUACCUGAGGUCAGGAGUUUGAGACCAGCACAGCCAACAAGGCGAAACCCCGUCUCUACUAAAAAUACAAAAAUUAGCCAGGUGUGGUGGCGCGUGGCUGUAAUCCCAGCUACUCAGAAGUCUGAGGCAGGAGAAUCACUUGAACCCGGGAGGCAGAGGUCAUAGUGAGCUGAGAUCACGCCACUGCAUUCCAGCCUGUGCAACAAAGCAAGACUACAUCUCAAAAAAUAAAAUAAAAUAAAUACAUACGUAUGUGCAGUUAUGCCUAUACUUCAAUAAAAUUGUUUCAAAUAAAAGCACGAUGAGCUGCCUGGACAGGUGAAAAUUCCAGUGGUAGUCAUAAUGUCUUUCCAUAGACUUUCUCUUCUCCUUUCUUUCAGGGACAUAACAAUAUUGCAUUUCCUGUCCUCUUUGAAAUUAAGUGUUGCCACAUGACUUGCUUUGGCCCAUGAAAUGUAAAUAGAAGUUCUUAUAGCAAUUCCUGGUAAGUGCUUCUCUAACUAAUGCACAAUCAGUCCUAAUGCAUAGCCACUCCUACCUGAGUGAUUGUGGAGAUGCAUUUAGAUAAAACACACUCGGUCAGCCUGGGUCUAGGAGGGCCCAUGAGCAAGUCUCUGCUCGUGGGAGUGGACAGGUAGUCUGAGCGAGGAACUUUGCUGCGUAAGUCAUAAAUGGACACAAGUCCACUCAUUUUCUUCAAUUCCAGUUACCAAAGAAAGUCACCAUUCCACCGAGGCUGUGACCAGUGCCCUCCACCAGGCCUAGCUCCAAGAAUCUCAUGCAUCAAGCCCCAGGGCUCCUCACGUUGGGCAUUAAAUGUAAGGUCAUGCCACAUUCUUUAACAUUGUCAGGAAGCAGGAAGGAAAGUACCAGAUACUUGAAGGACCCACUGACCUGGAAAAAAGUGGGAUCUAGUUUCAGCUUGAAAAAAUCCUUCUUCAUAAUUACAUUUCCCUUAGGCAAAUCUCUAACAUGCCUAGGCUUUUGUAUAUCUGUUUUUACUGCGUCACAAACCUCCCCCAAAGAGAAGGGAGACGAUAACUGGAGAAAACCACAAAUUAAUCUUCCAAUAUUUUUUUCUUCCAUAUAAUCAGCAGUGCCUCAGAAUCAAAGCAGUCUCUAAAAAUAUUUUGAAGAAAUUUAUUUUCUUGGAUCUUCAAAGAUCCAAAGUUACUGAGAUGCAAAGAAUCUUCCACAGUAUCAUCCAAGGAUACUGAAGGGCUCCUUCAAACCUCGCCCUUGUAUAUUUCUUCUUCCAGUUGUGAUACUGCAGUUACAUUUGCAAACCAAAUGAUCCCUUUGGGUGGUUUUUCCAAAACAAAUCGUCUUUCCCAAAGGCCUACCUAAGUCUUCAUUUUCCACAAAGUAGAAAACUGCCCACAGCUUUGAAAUGGCAGCAUAAUUUGUAUUUCUACCACCUUGUCCAGGUUUCAGGGAUCUCUGGUCCAGUUUCA
rnacentral:lncRNA from 10 species